UAAGUUAUUAAGGGCGCACGGUGGAUGCCUUGGCACUAGAAGCCGAUGAAGGACGUUACUAACGACGAUAUGCUUUGGGGAGCUGUAAGUAAGCUUUGAUCCAGAGAUUUCCGAAUGGGGAAACCCAGCAUGAGUUAUGUCAUGUUAUCGAUAUGUGAAUACAUAGCAUAUCAGAAGGCACACCCGGAGAACUGAAACAUCUUAGUACCCGGAGGAAGAGAAAGAAAAUUCGAUUCCCUUAGUAGCGGCGAGCGAAACGGGGAAGAGCCCCAAACCAACAAGCUUGCUUGUUGGGGUUGUAGGACACUCUAUACGGAGUUACAAAGGACGACAUUAGACGAAUCAUCUGGAAAGAUGAAUCAAAGAAGGUAAUAAUCCUGUAGUCGAAAAUGUUGUCUCUCUUGAGUGGAUCCUGAGUACGACGGAGCACGUGAAAUUCCGUCGGAAUCUGGGAGGACCAUCUCCUAAGGCUAAAUACUCUCUAGUGACCGAUAGCGAACCAGUACCGUGAGGGAAAGGUGAAAAGCACCCCGGAAGGGGAGUGAAAUAGAACCUGAAACCGUGUGCUUACAAGUAGUCAGAGCCCGUUAAUGGGUGAUGGCGUGCCUUUUGUAGAAUGAACCGGCGAGUUACGAUUGAUGCAAGGUUAAGCAGUAAAUGUGGAGCCGUAGCGAAAGCGAGUCUGAAUAGGGCGUUUAGUAUUUGGUCGUAGACCCGAAACCAGGUGAUCUACCCUUGGUCAGGUUGAAGUUCAGGUAACACUGAAUGGAGGACCGAACCGACUUACGUUGAAAAGUGAGCGGAUGAACUGAGGGUAGCGGAGAAAUUCCAAUCGAACCUGGAGAUAGCUGGUUCUCUCCGAAAUAGCUUUAGGGCUAGCCUCAAGUGAUGAUUAUUGGAGGUAGAGCACUGUUUGGACGAGGGGCCCCUCUCGGGUUACCGAAUUCAGACAAACUCCGAAUGCCAAUUAAUUUAACUUGGGAGUCAGAACAUGGGUGAUAAGGUCCGUGUUCGAAAGGGAAACAGCCCAGACCACCAGCUAAGGUCCCAAAAUAUAUGUUAAGUGGAAAAGGAUGUGGCGUUGCCCAGACAACUAGGAUGUUGGCUUAGAAGCAGCCAUCAUUUAAAGAGUGCGUAAUAGCUCACUAGUCGAGUGACACUGCGCCGAAAAUGUACCGGGGCUAAACAUAUUACCGAAGCUGUGGAUUGUCCUUUGGACAAUGGUAGGAGAGCGUUCUAAGGGCGUUGAAGCAUGAUCGUAAGGACAUGUGGAGCGCUUAGAAGUGAGAAUGCCGGUGUGAGUAGCGAAAGACGGGUGAGAAUCCCGUCCACCGAUUGACUAAGGUUUCCAGAGGAAGGCUCGUCCGCUCUGGGUUAGUCGGGUCCUAAGCUGAGGCCGACAGGCGUAGGCGAUGGAUAACAGGUUGAUAUUCCUGUACCACCUAUAAUCGUUUUAAUCGAUGGGGGGACGCAGUAGGAUAGGCGAAGCGUGCGAUUGGAUUGCACGUCUAAGCAGUAAGGCUGAGUAUUAGGCAAAUCCGGUACUCAUUAAGGCUGAGCUGUGAUGGGGAGAAGACAUUGUGUCUUCGAGUCGUUGAUUUCACACUGCCGAGAAAAGCCUCUAGAUAGAAAAUAGGUGCCCGUACCGCAAACCGACACAGGUAGUCAAGAUGAGAAUUCUAAGGUGAGCGAGCGAACUCUCGUUAAGGAACUCGGCAAAAUGACCCCGUAACUUCGGGAGAAGGGGUGCUCUUUAGGGUUAACGCCCAGAAGAGCCGCAGUGAAUAGGCCCAAGCGACUGUUUAUCAAAAACACAGGUCUCUGCUAAACCGUAAGGUGAUGUAUAGGGGCUGACGCCUGCCCGGUGCUGGAAGGUUAAGAGGAGUGGUUAGCUUCUGCGAAGCUACGAAUCGAAGCCCCAGUAAACGGCGGCCGUAACUAUAACGGUCCUAAGGUAGCGAAAUUCCUUGUCGGGUAAGUUCCGACCCGCACGAAAGGCGUAACGAUUUGGGCACUGUCUCAACGAGAGACUCGGUGAAAUCAUAGUACCUGUGAAGGUGCAGGUUACCCGCGACAGGACGGAAAGACCCCGUGGAGCUUUACUGUAGCCUGAUAUUGAAAUUCGGCACAGCUUGUACAGGAUAGGUAGGAGCCUUUGAAACGUGAGCGCUAGCUUACGUGGAGGCGCUGGUGGGAUACUACCCUAGCUGUGUUGGCUUUCUAACCCGCACCACUUAUCGUGGUGGGAGACAGUGUCAGGCGGGCAGUUUGACUGGGGCGGUCGCCUCCUAAAAGGUAACGGAGGCGCUCAAAGGUUCCCUCAGAAUGGUUGGAAAUCAUUCAUAGAGUGUAAAGGCAUAAGGGAGCUUGACUGCGAGACCUACAAGUCGAGCAGGGUCGAAAGACGGACUUAGUGAUCCGGUGGUUCCGCAUGGAAGGGCCAUCGCUCAACGGAUAAAAGCUACCCCGGGGAUAACAGGCUUAUCUCCCCCAAGAGUUCACAUCGACGGGGAGGUUUGGCACCUCGAUGUCGGCUCAUCGCAUCCUGGGGCUGUAGUCGGUCCCAAGGGUUGGGCUGUUCGCCCAUUAAAGCGGUACGCGAGCUGGGUUCAGAACGUCGUGAGACAGUUCGGUCCCUAUCCGUCGUGGGCGUAGGAAAUUUGAGAGGAGCUGUCCUUAGUACGAGAGGACCGGGAUGGACAUACCUCUGGUGUACCAGUUGUCGUGCCAACGGCAUAGCUGGGUAGCUAUGUGUGGACGGGAUAAGUGCUGAAAGCAUCUAAGCAUGAAGCCCCCCUCAAGAUGAGAUUUCCCAACUUCGGUUAUAAGAUCCCUCAAAGAUGAUGAGGUUAAUAGGUUCGAGGUGGAAGCAUGGUGACAUGUGGAGCUGACGAAUACUAAUCGAUCGAAGACUUAAUCA
rnacentral:rRNA from 1 species